CCUACGGGUGGCUGCAGUGGGGAAUAUUGCACAAUGGGGGAAACCCUGAUGCAGCGACGCCGCGUGAGUGAAGAAGUAUUUCGGUAUGUAAAGCUCUAUCAGCAGGGAAGAAAAUGACGGUACCUGAAUAAGAAGCCCCGGCUAACUACGUGCCAGCAGCCGCGGUCAUACGUAGGGGGCAAGCGUUAUCCGGAUUUACUGGGUGUAAAGGGAGCGUAGACGGCAGCGCAAGUCUGGAGUGAAAGGCGGGGGCUCAACCCCGGGACUGCUCUGGAAACUGUGCGGCGGGAGUGCAGGAGAGGUAAGUGGAAUUCCUGGUGUAGCGGUGAAAUGCGUAGAUAUUAGGAGGAACACCAGUGGCGAAGGCGGCUUACUGGACUGUAACUGACGUUGAGGCUCGAAGGCGUGGGGAGCAAACAGGAUUAGAUACCCCAGUAGUC
rnacentral:rRNA from 1 species